AAACAGCCCAUUAAGCCCAAAAUGCCUCCCUUACGCUCCCCUCAAAUUCAGAAGCUGCGUCUCCGUCCUCAACGCCUUCGCUAGCUAAUAGCUCUUGAGAUCUUCGAUUUCACUUUGCUCUUUUUUUAGAAAACUCUACCCAGGAGCCGAUCAUGUUGUAGCUACUGAAUUGCUUAGACAGAAAGAGAAUGUGUAGGCAGAAUUGUUGCGCGAAAUCGUCACAAGAGGAGGAGGUGAUUUCACCACCUGAUGAGAAUCUCUUGAUCUACUGUAAACAUGUUCGUCUCUACAACAUUCUUCGCAUUCGCUCUCUUUACAACCCAUCGUUUCUUCCUAGAUUAUUGAGCUACAAAAUUUAAGCAAAAGGCAAAAAAAAAAGAGGUGAAGUGGUGACGGAUGGUGAGAAGUCGAAGGCGGGGAAGAAGCGAGCUAAGGCUCCAUGGGCAAAGCCACUUUCUCAGUAUUCUCAGGUUUAGCAGUGUGCAGUUCAUGUAAUAUUUUUAGUAAAGGUUUGGUCUUUCAGUUCAUGAGGAACGAGUUUAGUUGUCUGCAUGUCCGGUUCUUUUAUAGUUUUUGCCGACAAAACUCAGAAGUAUGUUGUUAUGUAUGUGUCUUUGUGACUUUCUGUGGUCUGCAAGUUACGCAUUGAGGGUUUAGCAGUGUGCAGUUCGUGUAAUAUUUUUUUGUUGUUGAAGGUUCGGUCUUUCAGUUCAUGCCCAACGAGUUUAGUUGGCUUCAUGUUUGGUUCUUUUAUAUUUUUCUGACAGACCACACGAUGUGAUAUAAUGAACAAUAUUUGGGUCUGUGGCAGGCAUACUUUGAUGCGCCCGGGGUUUAGUAAAUUUAAAUUUUUUAUAUUGGCCAAUUUGUAACCACUGUUAUUGUUUUCCAUAUUCAUAUUCAUGAACGGAGUUUUAGUGAAGGUGAUUUCCUUGAAAUAAGCAGAUGAUGCUCAAUCACCAAAAGCUUACACAACCGAAGAUUACCUCAAGAUCACUGAAGAGCAGCUCAAAGCUUCGUCUCCUGGUAAAAUCCAAAGAGAGGAUCAAAUUCAGACUCAAGAACGUGCUGUACAAAGCCAGCCUGAAGUUACAUCGAGAGAGACCAUGGCUGCAUCUUCUCCAAGGCAAGAUUAAAAGGCACCCAAGAUCUGGAUCUGCCCUUUCUGCUUCCAGCGGAACCCUUUCCCUCCUCACUACCACAUGAUCUCCGAGACCAAUCUCCCCGGCGAGCUUUACCCUCUGUACACCACCGUUUAAUACGCGCUUCCUUCCACCGCCGGCCAAUUCGAUCCCAGAACCGGCGCUGCUCCGCCUCAGACGCCUCCUCAUGUGUUCGUGUUUGUUCUCGAUACGUGUAUGAUCGAGGAGGAGUUGGGGUUCGCUAAAUCUGCACUUAAGCAGACGAUUGGGUUGCUUCCGGAGAAUGCUUUGGUGGGGUUUGUGUCUUUUGGGACGCAGGCUCAUGUUCAUGAGUUGGGAUUCUCGGAGAUGUCUAAAGUUUUUGUCUUUAAAGGGAAUAAAGAAGUGUCUAAGAAUCAGGUUUUGGAUCAGUUGAGGCUUUCCUCGAGGAGAGUUCCCACUUCUGGGUUUCCCAAAAGAGCGCAAAAUGGGUUCCAGAGUGCUGCUGGUGUCAACAGGUUCUUGCUGCAUGCCUCGGAUUGUGAAUACACACUGGACUUGCUUUUGGAUGAGCUGCAAACAGACAAUGGCCUGUUCAGCCCGGUCAUCAUCCCCAAAGAUGCACUGGUGUGGUGUUGAGUGUAGCUGCUGGAUUGCUUGGAGCUUGCUUUCCUGGAACUGGGGCUAGAAUCGUUGCUUUGGUCGGAGGUCCAUGUACAGAGGGCCCUGGAAUGGUUAGAGCUUGGAUCCUAUAAAUAGGCGUUCUAUCACAAAAUCUUUGAUCUUUUCUCUGCUCAUAUUUGAUUCUUCUUUAGGAGAUAUAUAUACAUUUGUAAAAGAAGUUGAUUGUGAACAAAUUAUUUCCUUGGCAGCGAUGCACUCCUUAUGUGAGACACCUACCAAUUGGUAGACAACAUCAACAUGGAGGUGUUGUUAGAGGUAGUUGAGGCAGAGGCCAAGCUGGUGGUGGCAAAGACAAUAAAUGUGGCCUAGCUAAAGAUUGUCAAAAGUGGGAUUGAAAAAUGGAAUAAAAGUUCCUAACAUGGUAUUAGGAAGAACGUGUAGAUAAUAAUAAUGGAAGGUGUCCUACAUUUGUGGAUCAUCAGUGGCUACAGGAGGUGGCUGGAGGAACAACAGAGGUUGUUUAAUAAAGUGUUGCGACUCAAGAGCACCUGACCGAUAGCGAGCUUAGGAUGUUUGUUGAUGUGCGUGGAGAGGAAUACAGUUCAAGGCAACUUCAAAGCAAUAAUGUUUAACCGCAUUAGAUAAUUGUUUCUCUCCAUAUUCUUUUUUUUUGUAGAGAUUUAUGUAUGAAAAAAUGGAGAAAGUAAAAUGAUUCAGAAGAAAAUCUACAGUUUCAUUUAGAGAAAGGUCGAAGAUGAUGGCUGGUUUGGUGAA